GCAGCCUGGACUCCUGGGCCACGGGAACAGUGUGGGCUGGGAGGGAGGUGUUAUGGUUGGAGAUAAUGUGGUCAGCAGGGAAGAAGGCUGCUUCCCAGGUGGAACAAAGGGCUCCCUUCCUGUAGGGGAGACUCUCAAAAUACCUGAGCUGGUUCUGGCCUGGUUAUAAACAUAACUGACUUCAUCAGAGGUUGUGAAGGCUGGUGACAUCCAUUUACCGGAGGUGAUGUGUUUGGGGGUUAUUUAUGCUUUUCUCUUUCUGAAGAAAGAAUAUCUGAUUGGGAUCCUAGUGUCACUCUUUAACUUAGGUGAUGUAGAAAAUGCAGCUGGGUGGUGCAGUGGGGAGAGAAUGACCUUUGAAUUUGGGGGUAGAACUUGGGUCAGAGUAGAGGGGUUGGUAUAGGAGAUGGGAGCUUGCUAAAGACCUCUGGCUUCUAGAAAAUCGUUCCAAAGCCACAUCUUCUCUAGGCAUGGUGGGGUCACACACGUAAUCCCAGCCCUUUGCGAGACCAAGGCAAAAGGAUCACUUGAGGCCGGGAGUUCAAGACCAGCCUAGGCAACAUAGAGAGACCCUGUCUCUACAAAAAAGAAGUUAACUGGGUAUGGUGGUGCACGCCGCUAGUCCCAGCUACUUGCCACUCAGGGAGACUGAGACGGGAAGAUCACAUGAUCCUAAGAGUUGAGGCUGUAUGAGCUGUGAUUGCACUACUGUGCUCCAACCUGGGUGAAAAAAAGGCACAUCUUCUACAACGAUUGGCAGUCAUGGCUGCAUGCCUGCAUUUUCCAAUCCUUAACUGUCUCACAGGCUCUGUUUGGGAGCCUGCUGAGCAGUUUGCUUUGGAUAGGUACUGUUUGAGGGAUUUUAAAGUGAUUGAGACCAAGGAAGUGUAAUGGGGUGUAGAGACCUAUGGCGUAUUAGAAAUUUGGAGCCAUCAUCUGUAACAGGAAGAACUUUCCUGACCAUUCAUGGGAUUUGUGUAACCUGUGAAAAGGGUCUUGGAGAUUGCAGGUACAGCAUACCUGGUGGCUUUCAAGGGACUUUGAGAACUAAUAAAUGGGCAUUUCUGCUGCCAGAGGAUAGUGUGGUUUGUGACUCUGUGGCUGGUCAUACAGAGAAGAUUGACAUGCAGUGGGUGGAAGGUUGGGAGUGCAAAAGGCUGCCAUUGAGCUAGUCAGGGACCCGUUUGAAUAAUGAGUGAUGGGUGAGACUAUGUGUCCCUAGGUGGAGUUGGGGAGGGAACAGGGAAAGUUGUGUGAGACUUUCUAGAAGGUGCAGUGGUUAGAGCAGGCACAUUCAUGUUGCUGUCAGUAACAGAACUGAAGGCAAGAUCUGAGCUGGAGCAUGGUAGAGACCCAAAGUGGGAGAGACUGUCUGCCCACAGGGAGUUUAUGGUCGGAAGGGGACAGGAAGUACAGGUAUAAAGUAACACAAAGCAGACUGUUUAAACCACGCAGUGGAGUUACAACCAAAAGUGGUAGAAAUGCAGAGGAAGAGGGGAGCAGAGAGCACCUGACAUGGGCUUGAGUUUGGAAGGGGAAAAUGAAGGGCCUUCCAGGUGGAACAGCAUGAGUGUUCAGAGGUAGCACGUAUAUGGUUUAUGGAGAAUGGUUUGCCUGGUGAGUAGGAAGUUCUGAGAAGCAAAACCUGGAAAAAUUGGAUUGAGUUAGCAUAUAGGAGGCUUAAUGCCCUGCUAAGGAAACUAUACUUAGGCCAGGCGUGGGUUACGCUUGUAAUCCCAGUACUCUGGGAGGCUGAGGCAGGAGGAUUGCUUGAGCCAAGAAAUUUGAGACCAGCCUGGGCAACAUAGUGUCUAUAAAAAAAUAGAAAAAUUAGCCAGGUGUGGUGGCACAUGCCUGUAGUCCCAUCUACUAGGGAGGCUGAGAUAGGAGGAUCACUUUGAGCCUGGAAGGUGGCGGUUGCAGUGAGCUAUGAUCACACCACUUCACUCUAACCUGGGUAACAGGGUGAGACUCUGUCUCAAAAAAAAAACAAAGAAAACUAGGCUUAAUUGGGCAGAUGCUGGGAAACUUGAAAAGUUUUGAGCAAGUAGUGACACGAUCAGCUUUCAGAAAGUUAAUUUGGCAGCUCAGUGUGGAUGGCUGGGAGGAGAGUGAGGUGCACCUGUGUUUGCGCCCUGCUCUGCCAUCUGAUGGCUGCAUUAUUUACUUCAACAAACUACUCAAACAUGGUACACCACAGUUUGCUCAUCUGUAAAACAGAGACAAAUACUAAAGGGUUAUGUAAGAUGUUAGUAGUUGUUACCGCUGCCACUGCUACUGCCAGGAGGAUGAGGUUGAAGGUUCUUUUGAGUGCCUAGCUAGAGGAAGUGCGGGUACUGACCAGGGUGGGGACUGGGAGAUGAUAAAGGAAGGAAAUAGUAGGAAAGACACUAAAGGAGUAGCAUCUGUGUGUUUAAGUAGGUUGGGUGUCAACUGUGGGCGACUGGAGACAAAGAUGAGAUGAAAAUGUAAAGGGAGUGAGUCAGAGUGGGAGGUUUGAGGGGAGUAGAGAUUUGAAUCCGCCAAUUGUAUACAGCGGGAAAGGAGUCUAAGAACAGUGAGGACCUGGUUGAGGUUUGAGAAUGUGAAUUUAUGAUGGACCCUAAAGUACUUUCUUUUUUUUUUCUUUAAUUUGUUUUGGUUUUUUUUUUUCUGCAGCCCAAGAAGGGAGGUGUGGAUCUUGGGCCUGGCUGCUUGUGAGCCAGUCCGAUGGGAUGCGGAUAAGGAACUUUAGGGCCAGGAUGGCAGUGCUAGUAGAGGAGGGGGUCACGGAAGCUGCUGGGACAGGAACCAGAGGCAGGGUGGAGGCUGGAACCUGGAGGCUGAAGGUCUUGAUGAGGACGAAGCACAGGCCCAGUGAACAGAAGACAGGGAGUAGGAGAGGUGGAUGGGGCUCUUAGGAGGCCAUGUACCCAGGAAGACUGACAUUAAGUGACCAUUUUAAAAAAAUCAACUUAAUUGGCCAAGGCACAGCGGCUCACACCUGUAAUGCCAGUACUUUGGAAGGCAGAGGCAAGAGGAUCACUUGAGCCCAGGAGUUUAAGAUCAACCUGGGCUGGGCACAGUGGCUCAUGCCUAUAAUCCCAGCACUUUGAGAGGCUGAGACGGGUGGAUCACGAGGCUAAGAGAUCAAGACCAUCCUGGUCAACAUGGUGAAACCCCAUCUCUACUGAAAAUACAAAAAUUAGCUGGGCAGGGUGGCGCACACCUAUAGUCCCAGCUACUCGGGAGGCUGAAGCAGGAGAAUUGCUUGAACACAAGAGGCAGAGCUUGCGGUGAGCUGAGAUUGUGCCAUUGUACUCCAGCCUGGGUAACAAGAGUGAAAGUCCGUCUCAAAAAAAAAAAAAAAAGAUCAACCCGGGCAGCAUAGCAAGACCUCAUCUCUACAAGAAAUAAAAAAAAUAGCUGGUUAUGGUGGUACAUGAUACUAGUCCCAGCUCUUCAGGAGGCUGAGGCAAGAGGAUCACUUUAGCUCAGGAGUUUAAAGCUGUAGUGAGUUGUGAUUGCUCCACUGCAUUCUAGCCUGGGUGACAGAGCAAGACCCUAUCUCUAAAAAAAGCUGAGUGUGUGUGUGUUGCGGGGAGGGGGGUUGUUUUUUCUUUGAGAGAGAGUUUUGCUCUGUUGCCCAUGCUAGAGUACAAUGUCAUGAUCUUGGUUCCCUGUAAACUCUGCCUCCUGGGUUCAAGCGAUUCAUCUGCCUCAGCCUCCUAAGUAGCUGGGAUUAAAGGCGCCGGCCACUAUGCCUGGCUAAUUUUUAUAGUUUUAGAAGAGAUGGGUUUUGCCAUGUUGGCCAGGCUGGCCUUGAACUCCUGACCUCAAGUGAUCCGCCCACCUUGUCCUCCCUAAGUGUUGGAACUAUAGGUGUGAGCCACCGGACCUGGCCAAACCAACUUAAUUUAGGUAUAACUUAAUACCCACUGUAAAAUGCAACUGUUUGAAGUGCAUAGUUUGACGUGUUUUGAUAAAUGUCUACACCCCGUGUAACUAUUACCCCAAUCAAAAGAUGAAACAUUUUUAUCACACCCAAAAAUUUCCCUCAAGCACCUUUGUAGUCAGGCCCCUAUUUGUUUGGGUCACCUGUAUUUGGGUCAUUAAGAAUUCUGGCUGUUAUUCAACUACUGUGAACCUUCAUGUGCAGGCCUGUGUGGGCACACAUUUUCCUUGGGACUGCCCUGGUUUUGAUUUUGGCUCCCCACCUUACAGAUUCUUGGCUCUUGGAAAAGUUCUUCUUUGUGCCUUUCUGUAAAAUACAUUGAUAAUGAAUGUGUGCUCAUUUUAAGGUCAUUGUGAAUAUCAGAUGAGAAUGUCUGCAGAACUCACAGGACAUUGCCUGCUCCAUAGGCCAUGAGCAGUCAGUGGCAGUUGCGGGUCCCUUUUCCAGAGACUCUAGGGGAGACAGCACAUGGCGAGGGGCAUGUUGUUUCAUGGGACACAGCAGCAGAAAGCCUCUGCACUUGGAGAACAAGCCCCAGAUCUCUGCUUGGUGGAGUAAGCACCUGUCUUAACGUGAGUGUGGUGCUUUUACAUAGCCUGUCUCUCAUGAGCUUUGUGACAGAACAGAGAACUGCUGGGCCCCGGACGUCUUAGGGGGAGAUCUGGCUUCAUGCUUUGUAAGCCGUAAGGAACCUUGUCAGCGUCAAGAAUAUUGCAUAGUCUUGGGCCUGCUGAUUAUUAAAUAAUAAUGUUGCUAUUGUUUAAAAAAAAAAAUAGGUUGAGCACAGUGGCUUACACCUUUAAUCCCAGCACUUUGGGAGGCCAGGGCAGGAGGAUUGAUUGCAUGAAUCAAUCAAUGGAAGGAGUUCCAGACCAGGCUAAAAAUUUUUUAAAUUGGCUGGGUAGACCGGGCGCAGUGGCUCACACCUGUAAUACUAGCACUUUGGGAGGACGAGUCAGGUGGAUGGCCUGAGCUUAGGAGUUCCAGACCAGCCUGGACCACAUGGUGAAACCCCGUCUCUACUAAAAUAAAAAAAAUUAGCCAAGCGUAGUGGCGUGUGCCUGUAGUCCCAGAUACUCGGGAGGCUGAGGCAGGGAAUUGCGAGAACCUGGGAUGCACAGGUUGCAGUGAACUGAGAUUGCGCUAUUGCUGGGCAACCGAACGAGACUCUGUCUCUUAAAAAAAAAUUAGCUGGGUAACAUGGCACACAUCAGCAGUCCUAGGUGUUCAGGAGGCUGAGAUGGGAGAAUUGGUUGAACCCAGGACUUGGGGCUGCAAUGAGCUAUAAUCAAGCCACUGCACUGCAGCUUGGAUGACAGAGACCCUGUCUUUAAAAAAAGAAAAAACACAUUACAAUCUACAUAUAAAUCUCUGUCCAAAAGGUGACAGCAAACCACCCAAAACCCUGUUCAUGCUGAGUUUUCCCCAUUUGAAAGGCCUUGCUGUGAAUGUAAUUGUGUGCGCGUGUGUGUGUGUGUGUGAGUGUGUGUGUGUGUGUGUGUGUCAGGAGCCCCUCCCCACCGAGCACAGUCUGCUAGUGCUCCUGAGGGAUUGGGGAGGGCCUGGAGUUUCUGGCUGUCCUUGGAAAGUUGAUUUAAUAAGGGUUCCAGGAAAACCAGCCUCCCUCCCCUCUCCCUCUCCUUCCCCUCCUCUGGUUUGGGAUCUUACACAGCCUCAGCUUGUUUCAGAUCAGGCUCUGAGAGAGGUGAGGGAGUUGUGUGGAAAGACUGAAGCCGGUUUCAGAUGAUAAGCACCAACUUUCCGAGCUUGAGGAGGGUGCAAUUGUCCAUCUUUUGCAAUAAGUCUCGGUGGGGAAAGCCAGCGCAUGAGUGCCACACUCCUUGGGGGUCCUGCCCCCUUUUCAGCAGUACUGUAGGUUAAACACCCCAGGCCCCCUGCACUUCCCUCUGUGCUCAGAAAACCUGCAGCUCAUAAGCGAUUUAAUGGCUGGGUUUUACAGCUCCUCCCACCCACCCAGAUUUGAAGGAGUCUGGUGGCCUGUUAGAGGGGGGAGAGGUUGUACUUAAUGGAAAAACCGCACAUUUCCAUUUCUGGCCUCAAGCCCCCUGGAUGCCCUGUGUGUACCACAAAGCAGGGCUUUGUCUCUGUUUUGCAGAAAUCUGCACCUAUGGGGGAGAGGCUGUGCGUGGUGCCAGAGCCAUUGCCAAACCUCAAAUCACAGGGCCCUUGCAGCUCAUGCAUCCCUGGGCAUCUGCAGCUGCCUUUGGCCCAAAGGGGUGUGCAUUUCAGCCUAGCUGCAGGGAGGGUCUCAAAUAGGUACUACAUGUUCGGUAGUGGGACACCCUCUGUCCCGCCACCAGUCUAGCAUCUACACUGGUCCAGUGUCCCAAGGCUGCCCUUGGACACAGGCAGGACCCUCCCCUACUCCCACCCCAUCUCCAGCAGAAUUUCUUCAGGUGAAAAGAACUUGUUUGCUUCUCAUUCACACUGGAUGGUAAGAGGAGUUUCUUCAUCCCCUGCUGGAAGGUGAGUGGAAUUCCAUGGAGCAAAAGGUGAUAUCAGAUGACCCACUUGAGAACAAGGGUGGAGGAUUUAGGCCUCUAGAAAUCUGCAAGGUGCUAAGCUAACAGCUUUCUCCAGAGGAUCAGCUCUGUCCCACUUCCCCUGGAGAGGUGGUUCCAAUGCCUUGGAAGGGAUGUUUGCAAGUGUUUAGAGCCAGACAGGGAGGACCCAGCCCUCGGCCUGUGAGAGAAUGUGAGGACGCUCACGUGGCUGGCUCUCUUAACCAAGCUGGGGCGAGCGCAGCAAAGCCACUCCGAGGCUGUGUUCUUGGCUCCAGCUUCUGCAUUGCUACACCAUUAGCUUCACUGAUUUUCCACUCUGUCUCUGCCAGGCCCACUCCCUGAAGUCAGGCAGGAGGAAUUUCUCAGGGAAGAACAAAUGGCUGUCCAGAAAACUCGCUGCCAGUGGGGGAAGGGAGGGCUCCCAAACAAAGACGCUGUCUAGUUUCCAUCACCUGGUUUCUGUGACUACCUGGAGUCGGGUCAGCAGGAACUGGAGAGGCGGUGUCAGGGAUUCUUUGGGAGCCUGUGGCCCCAGCCCGGUGGGGUGUUUGCUCUGGGCCAGGCAGAAGCAGUGAGUGAUGGCUUGUGUCUGGGCGGUGAUGGAUGGCCCUAGGAGAAGUGAGUGCUGGGGAGUCAUUAUCCUAGAGGGCGAGGUCUGGGGUCAGGGAGCCUGACCAGCAGCUGGCCCUGUUUUCACAAUACCUCGUUCCUCCAGGGCCACUGGGGGCUCCAGCUCACCCUGUAGACACCGCCUUUGCCUCUUUCUUCCUUCCGUGAAGCUUGGAAAUGAGACAACUGUUUCCCUGCUGACCGGGGAAGUCCAGCUGCUCUCAUCCUCCUGGGCUCCUGAAUGGGGUAGCCCAGGCCUUCCUCCUGAGUCCAGCUUGUUCACAGACUUGCAGGCACUGCUUCUCCCCACCCACCCUACUCCCUAGCCCCACUGCACCCUAAGUGAUUAAGCUGAAAGCUUACUGCCCUACCUGGAUCUCAAAGGCCUAGGCUAAAUCCCAAACUGUUUCCUCCUAGGAGAAGCCUGCCGGAGUCUGGGCCACUUCUGGCCUUGGGUUUGCUCUGACUUCCAGCUGGUGGCAGCCAAGUAGCAGGGCCGAUUGCCCAAACCUCUCCUCCCUGGUAGCGGGCCUGUUGCCUCCUAGCGUUGCCAGUGUGGCACCAAGAGACGUUGAACUUCGGCCCUCAGAGUUCCCUCCCUUCUCCUGUUUCUUGGCUCACAACAACUCUUGCCUUUCUGCUUGCCAAAUGAGGUGCCCACUGCCUUCAUGUAAAGGAUUUGUGCCCUGCAAACUAGGGGCUGUGGGGUGACGGAUCUAUUUAGUUGGUUUCAGGCGCUGAGAAAGAUCCACCCUGGCAGAACUUGAAACUCCCCACUCUCUUUCAUAUGUUGUGGUGUGGCUGAGCCUCCUGGAAUGGGUUAUGUAAAAGCAGGAGGAUGGUGGGGUGGGGGCUGUGCCAUUUGUGUUCCCAGGCCCUGGACAUGGAGACAAAGGGAGCCUGAAGUGGGGAGAGGGUCAAGUUUUGCAAAUACUGGACUUAGUAGUUAUGAGCUUGGGCAGGGAAAGAGGUCAGAAACAGCAACACUGAGGUUUCAAAGAGUUAACCAACACUGAACAUUGAAUUCAGAGCUUGGCCCUUCCUCACUUUUCUGUAGGAGGAAAAACUAGCUCCUGGCUCACGGUCCAUUCAGUCACCGAUUUUUUUCACUCACUCAUUUAUUCAUUCAUCCAGUCAAGCAAAUUUCUUCCUUUUUCCAUAAAUACAACAUAUACGUUAUAUAUUGUUUAUCCUGGUCCCUUAGCUGUAAAUGUCUGUUCCAUUCCUUUUCUUCCUUUUCACUUUUUAUAAUUCCUGCUCAAAUCUUAGCUUGGGUUUCAAUUAAGGCUUAACUUAAGGGCUACCUCCCUUUUGAAGCCUUCCCCUAUCUCCAAAUUAAUCACCUCAUUUUUUCUUUUCUAUUUUUUAUGUAUGUAUUUAUUUAUUUAUUGAGACAUAGUCUUACUCUGUCGCCCAGGCUGGAGUACAAUGGCGAAAUCAUGGCUCACUGCAGCCUCCGCCUCCCAGGUUCUAGUGAUUCUCCUCCUUCAGGCUUCCGAGUAGCUGAGACUAUAGGUGUGUGCCACCAUGCCCUGAUAAUUUUUUUUCUAAAAUAUAUAUAUAUAUUGGUAGAGCCAGGGUUUCAUCAUCCUGGCCAGGCUGGUCUUGAACUUCAAGUUAUCUUAGAGAGUGAGUCUCACUCCGUUGCCCAGGCUGGUCUUGAACUUCAAGUUAUCUUAGAGAGUGGGUCUCACACCGUUGCCCAGGCUGGUCUCGAACUGCUGAUGUCAAGCAACCCUCUGGCCUCAGUCCCCUAAACUGUUGGGAUUACAGGCGUGAGCCAUUGCACCUGGCUGCUUUUUAACUUACAUUCUAACACUUAUUUUACUCUGCCUCACAUUAUGUGGAGUUUUUAAUACAUGUCUGUUUAUUCCACUAGAGCAAAGUUCUGUAUAGUCAGCAAGUAUAUCUUUAUCUCUCUUUUUUAAAACAUUAGUGUUUAGGCUGGGUGUGGUGGCUCAUGACUGUAAUUCCAGCACUUUGGGAAGCCCAGGCAGGUGGAUCACCCAAGAUCAGGAGUUCAAGACCAGCCUGGCCAACAUGGCAAAACCCCAUCUCUACUAAAAAUAUAAAAAUUAGCUGGGCUUGAUGUGGUGGCAAGCACCUCUACUUGGGAGGCUGAGGCAGGAAAAUGGCUUGAACCUGGGAGACAGAGCAAGCUGAGAUGGCACCACUUCACUCCAGCCUGGGCAAAAGAGCAAAAUUCUGUCUCAGGAAAAAAAUGGUGCUUGAUAUGUAGUCUGGGUUCAUCUUUCAAACGUUAGAAAAUUCAGACUUAUAAAGAGGAAAAGGAAAACUCCUAUAUUUCUACCAUGCAAAACUAAUCACUGUUAAUGGAAUUUAUUAUUUUAGACUUUUUUCUUGCAUUUAUCUAAAUCUGACUUUUUAGAAUUGGGAUUUAUGCUGUAUGUAUGUUUUGUAACUGAUGUCAGCAUUUGUAGCCAUACCAAGAAUAUAUUUCAUAAUGCUUAAGAACUACAUAAUAUUCCAUUGUGUGGGUAUAAAAAAAAUUAUCCAGUCCUUUACAUUUGGGCAUUUAGGUUAUUUUCAAUACUUUGCAUUCAAUAGAACGUACUCUUACAAAUAAAAUCUGUCCAUGUAUCCAAGGAUAGUUACAUUUUUUUUAAGUUUUGAUUAUAUCACUAUUAUAUCACUAUACCAAAUUGCCCCCAAAAGAUUAUACUAGUAAAUGCCUUUUUUUCUUUGUUUGUAUUUUUUGCUUUUUUUUUUUUUUGAGAUAGAGUCUUGCUCUGUCACCAGGCUGGAGUGCAGUGGCGUGAUCUCAGCUGACUGCAGCCUCUGCCUCCUGGGUUCAAGUGAUUCUCCUGCCUCGCCUCCCUGCAACUGGGACUACAGGCACAUGCCACCACACCCAGCUAAUUUUUGUAUUUUUAGUAGAGACAGGUUUUCAUCAUGUUGGCCAGGAUGGUCAUGAUCUCUUGACCUUGUGAUCUGCCUGCCUCAGCCUUCCAAAGUGCUGGGAUUACAAGCUUGUCUGUUAAGUGUCUUUUAAAAUAAUAAUAAAUACCAGCCAGGCACCGUGGCUCACACCUGUAAUCCCAGCACUUUGGGAGACUGAAGCAGGAAGAGCACUUGAGGUGAGAAGUUCAAGACCAGCCUUGGAAACAUGGCAAAACCCCGUCUCUACUAAAAAUACAAAAAUUAGUCAGUCGUGGUGGUGGCCACCUGUAGUCCCAGCUACUCAGGAGGCUGAGGCAAGAGAAUCGCUUAAACCUGGGAAGUGGAGGUUGCAGUAAGCUGAGAUUGCACCAUUGCACUCCAAUCUGGGCAACAGAGCAAGGCUCUGUCUCCAAAGUAAUAAUAAUAAUAAAUAUCAUCACCACACUCUGCAUGCUUGACAUUUUCCCAUUUUUACAAUGAUUCCACAGACAUAGGUUUUAUGACCGUAAUCAGAUGACUAAACUGAGGUUUUGGGGGGUUAAGUAACCUAUCUAAGUUUAUAUAGUGUGUGAGGGGUAGAACUAGGAUUUAAACUCAGGUGGUUCAGACUACAGUAUUUUUUUCCCCUGUUGUAUUGCACUAAGUUUCUAUAUCAAAUUGGGUUUCCCCACAAAAUCCAUGUGGACCAACUUCUCAAGGUAAACAUUGCUGACUCAGUCCCCUUUGUCUCACAGGAGUCUGGUGUCCCCUUUCUUUGUUGGGUAGUGUGUGUGUGUGUGUGUGUGUGUGUGUGUGUGUGCAGUAAUGUCUCUUGUGGCAUUCUGUAGGGAGGUUACACAGUAACAGGUCUGUGAGCUGCCUUAAUGAACAAGGUCCCUUAGCCUAGAAUAAUCGGUGGAACAAAAUCCCCAUUGAUGCUGCCAUUUUCACUGUUGCCAGAGACCUACUUGGAGAAGGUCUAGGAUCAGAGGUUGCCAGCAUGUUAGAUCCCACACCUGAGUUUUCUUCAUAAGUCACAGUUAGCCUAGAAUGUAUGGCAUGGGUAUUGCCUGGACACAUAAACUAGACUGCUUCUAAUAUGGUUAUUGUCCGACAAUGUCUGAUGGUGGAAUUAAACAUAUCAAAAGUUUUAGAGGCUGAAGCAUUAACAUUUUUUUUGAGGUUACUAGUGGGUUUUCUUUUUGUUUUUUUGAGACGAAGUCUUGCUCUGUCACCCAGGCUGGAGUGUAAUGGCUCUAUCUCAGCUCACUGCAACCUCCACCUCCCAGGUUCAAGCAAUUCUCCUGCCUCAGCCUCCUGAGUAGCUGGAAUUAUAGGCACACGCCACCACGCCCGUUAAUUUUUGUAUUUUUAGUAGAGGUGGGGUUUCACCACAUUGGCCAGACUGGUCUCGAUCUCUUGACCUCAGGUGAUCUGCCCACCUCGGCUUCCCAAAGUUCUGGGAUUACAGGCCUGAGCCACAGCACCAGGCCGGUAGUGUAUUUUUUAAAUAAGAAGGGCCAGGCAUGGCAGCUCACCCCUGUAAUCCCAGAACUUUGGGAGGCUGAGGUGGGUAGAUAGAGUGAGCUCAGGAGACCUGCUUGGGCAACAUGGCGUAAACUCCUCUACCAAAAAAAAAUUAGCUGGAUGUGGUGGUGGGCGCCUGCAGUCCCAGCUACUCAGGAGGCUGAGGCAGGAGGAUCACCUGAGCCUGAGGUAGAGGUUGCAGUGAGCUGAGAUUGUGCCACUGCACUCCAGCCUGGGUAACAGAGUGAGAUCCUGUCUCAAAAGGUAAAAUAUAUAAAUAAUGAGGAAAUGCAAAAACAGUAGGGAGUUCUGAAAUUUUGUUUAUCUUAGUGUUGAACAAAUUAAUGUUUUAAGCAAAAAAUAUAUAUAUAUUACAAUGCAGUUGAGACAGGAUUUCACUCACACUUGGGCCAGGCACAGAAGAGCUACACAGUUUGUAAAGUGUGUAUUAAAUCCGAGGUGUGGACUACCUGCAAUGCCCCAAGAGCAGAAUGCAGAUCUACUGAAAGUCGUUGGGCUUUUCUUCCAGUUCUGUUCAUUGACUUCGAGAGGAAAAACAUCAAAAGUCUUGGAGGCCCCGCUUGAAUGCUUGUAUUCGGGGCCUAGGACAAAUGCUGUUCUCCACCCUCUCACCACAGGUUAGGUCCAGCACUGGCCAGUGUUAAAGACAUAUGCAAACACAAUAAAUGACUCAUUUAAGAAGUGUCAUAUAAGCACACAAAAUCCAGGUUAUGAGGACAUCAGAAACCACAGGUGGGGGAAGGUGGGGUGAGGGAUGAGAAAUUAGUUAACAGGUAAUUUUAAAAUAAUAAUUUUAUUUUAAAAUAAUAUAUAUACCCAAUAUAUCCAUGUAGCUCCUACAUUUAUACUAAUUAAAAAACAAUUUUUUUUAAGGCCAGGCAUGGUGACUCAUGCUUAUAAUCCCAGCAUUUUUCAAGGCCAAAGUGUACAGAUCGCUUGAGCCCAGGAGUUUGAGACCAGCCUGGGCAACAUGGCAAAACCCUGACUCCACAAAAAAUAGCUGAGCAUGUUGGUGGGCACCUACAGUCCCAGCUGCUGGAAGACAGGGUGGAGAAUCACCUGAGCCCAGGAGGUCGAGGCUGCAGUGAGCUGUGAUCGUGACAGUGCACUCCAGCCUAGGUGACAGAGUGAAACCCUGUCUCAAAAAAUAAUAAUAAUUUUUAAAAACCCACUGGUGAUGGUUUUUUUUCCAAAGUGAGGGGACAGAUUGAUCAUCAUUUGUUGGGGCUACAAUGCGUGUGUGUGUGUGUGUGUGUGUGUGUGUGUGUGUGUCCGUCCGUCCGUCCGUUACAUAUUAUCUGCUCAAUUAAUACUUUUUUUUUUUUUUUUUGGGAGACAGAGUUUCGCUCUGUAGCCAGGCUGCAGUGCAGUGGCGCAAUCUCAGCUCACUGCAACCAACCUCCACCUCCCGGGUUCAAGCGAUUCUCCUCCCUCAGCCUCACAAGUAGCUGAGACUACAGGCAUGUGCCACCACACCCAGCUAAUUUUUGUAUUUUUAGUAGAGACAAGGUCUCACCACUUUGGCCAGGAUGGUCUCGAUCUCUUGACCUCGUGAUCCACCUGCCUCAGCCUCCGAAAGUGCUGGGAUUACAGGCGUGAGCCACCACGCCCAGCCAGUUUAUAUUUCUUGAAUAAGUAAAUUCACAGGUAAGUAACAAUUCAUUUUCUUUCUUUUUUUUUUUUAAGAUACCUAAUAUUUCUAGCUUUAAAAAGGAAAUGCAAGGAAGAGAACCUUUUUCAAUAGGAAGGUAAGGAAGAUAGGUGAGAAAUCGUUAUUUCUUUUUUUUUUUUUGAGACGGAGUUUCGCUCUUGUUACCCAGACUGGAGUGCAAUGGCACGAUCUCAGCUCACCGCAACCUCUGCCUCCUGGGUUCAAGCAAUUCUCCUGCCUCAGUCUCCCGAGUAGCUGGGACUACAGGCGCACACCACCAUGCCCAGCUAAUUUUUAUAUUUUUAGUAGAGACGGGGUUUCACCUUAUUGACCAGGUUGGUCUCGAUCUCUUGACCUCGUGAUCCACCCGCCUCAGCCUCCCAAAGUGCUGGGAUUAUAGGCGUGAGCCACCGCACCUGGCCGAGAAAUAGUUAUUUCUAUCAUGUAUUGAGUAUCUCAUGCAGUGGCCCCAGGUUUCCAUGGCUCAGUGUCACCUGGAGGGGUUAUGAAAAUGCCCAAGCUUGACAGUUCUAACAAGUUCCAAGGAAUGCUGAUGCUACCAGUCCAGGGACCACACUUUGAGAAUAUCUGGUAUCAAUUAAUUCUCAUCCCAAGAAAGUCUGUCAGACACUAUUUCCAUUUAACAGUUUAGAAAACUGGCUGACAGAGGUAAAACAAGCAAAAACUUGCCAAGGUACAAUAGCUAAUAAAUGGUGGAGCCAAGUCUCAGGUUAUCUAAACUCUAAUCCCUGUCCUGGGUGAGGAGGAUGGAAUGUCAGAGUCUAGGAGAAGAAAGACAAAAUAGGUGGGAAAGGGCUGAGUCCCUUUGCCUUGGAGGCAUGAGGGAGGAGAAGGAGUGGGACAGGGAAGUGAUCUAAGAGCUUUCCUAGGAAGGAAGGACACCCUUUUCCUGGCGUGCUGGCCUGCUCUGCCACAGCUUCUGGUCAAUUAUCGCUGCCUUUACAAUGCUGAUCAGUGCUCCAGCCCUUCAGAAGUGUCCUUUCUCGCAUUCAGAAAAUUCUGCUCCUCUGUUGUCAAACUACAGAGUUUACUUUUAGAAUUAAGGUUUAUUUUCCUUAGGUUUUAGGAAUUAGCUUUUGAACCUUAGAAGAAUCAGAUUCCUUUGCUAACUCCUGAAUGAAGUUCUCCUUUAGACAUUCAAAACUUGGAAUGUCAUGAUUCAAGUGUCAGUUGUGGCCAGCCACUGGCUCACCUGUAAUCCCAGCACUUUGGGAGGCUGAGGCAGGCGGAUCACCUGAGGUCAGGCGUUCAAGACCAGCCUGGCAAACAUAAUGAGUGUCUCUACUAAAAAAUAUAUUUUUAAAAAAAUUAGCCAGGUGUGGUGGCAGGGCCUGUACUUCCAGCUAUUCCAGAGACUGAGACAGGAGAAUCACUUGAACCAGGAGGCAGCGGUUGCAGUGAGCUGAGACCCCACCACUGCACUCCAACCUGGGCAACAGAGUGAGACUCCAUCGCCCCCAAAAAUGAAGUGUCAAUUGCAUAUGCUAUGUGCAAUCAAGGCUAUGAAUGCCUGACAUGCACUUGAAGGUGACGUUUAUUUUACAAUUUUAGCCAUUCUUCACUACCCCCAAAUUCCCAAUGCAUUUAAAAAAUGUACCUAGUCGUUCUGGGGUAAUAUAUCAUGACCAUCAAAAGAUGACAAAGUGAAUCCUCCAAGUAUAGCUGGGCUUUCUGCCAGUCUUAGAUUCUCGAGAAGCACCCCAAGCCAUGGAGAAGGGAUGAAGAGGAGAAGCAUUUAUUGAAGGUGCUGGUGGCCAGAGCCCUGGGACCAACACAGAAUCUUUUAUUCUGAAAGACAGUUCAGUUGAGGACUCUUCACUUCCCUCACAUCCGAGGGAGCUCUGUGCUCACAGUGGGCACGGGAAGGGAUGUCAGCAAGCAAUACCCCCUAUCAUCUCACAAGACCCAGCUGAAACAGGGGACAUUGGUUAGGGCUGGAAGGGACACGGCCAGUCAGCCUUCUCAUUUCACAGUGGAGGAAACCAAGGCCUGAAAGGGGAGGUGACUUGCCUGAGGUCACACAAUAAGUGAUCAGCUGUCACCUGAGUGGCUUCUUCAGGUGCUCUCUCUGGUAGUGCCCAGCCAGUGACAUCACCUGUGGGACUAAAUGGUUUUACAAGGACCUCAAAGUAUAUUCUCUCUCUUCCAGUAGAACAUGGAGAACAGUGACUUUGCCAAGAGUAAGGCUCUUUCCCCAGGAUUGUUCUAGAUCCCCAGGUCACUGGAGCCCUAAGCAUAGAUACUAGGUUUUAGCUUCCUGGCUACCACAGAGCCACACCCUCUCAGGUAGAAAAAUCUGAAACUGACUGGGCACCAUGGCUCACGCCUAUAAUCAAUCUUAGCACUUUAGAAGGCCCAGACGGGCAGAUCAUCUAGGUCAGGAAUUCAAGACCAGCCUGGCCAACAUGGUAAAACCUUGUCUCUACAAAAAAAUUAGGCGUGGUGGCACCUUCUGUACUCCCAGCUACUUGGGGUCUGAGGUGGGAGGAUCACUUAACCCAGGGAGGUGGAGGCUGUAGUAAACUGAAAUUGUGUCACUGUUCUUCAGCCUGCAUUACAGAGUGAGACCCUGUCUCAAAACAAAAAAAUCCCCAAACCAUGGUUUUUUUUUGAGAUGGAGUUUCCCCUUGUUGCCUAGGCUGGAGUGCAGCGUCCCAAUCCUGGCUCACCACAGCCUCUGCCACUUGGGUUCAAGCGAUUCUCCUGCCUCAGCCUCCGGAGUAGCUGGGACUAUAGGCACAUGCCACCACGCCCAGCUAAUUUUGUAUUUUUAGUAGAGAUGUGGUGUCACCAUGUUAGCCAGAUGGUCUCAAUCUCCUGACCUCACGAUCUGCCCACCUCAGCCUUCCAAAGUGCUGGGAUUACAGGCUUGAGUCACCAUGCCUGGCUUUUUUUUUUUUUUUUUUUUUUUUUUAAGCUGGAGUCUCUCUCUGUUGCCCAGGCUGGAGUGCAGUGGUGCAGUCUCAGCUCACUGCAGCCUCCACCUCCCAGGUUCAAGCAGUUCUCUGCCUCAGCCUCCCGAGUAGCUGGGAUUACAGGCCCCCGCCACCACAACCAACUAAUUUUUGUAUUUUUAGUAGAGAUGGGGUUUCACCAUGUUGGCCAAGCUGAUCUUGAACUCCUGACCUCAUGAUCCACCCACCUCGGCCUCCCAAAGUGCUGGGAUUAGAGGCAUGAGCUACUCCACCUGCCCAUGUUUUUAAUUUUUUUAAACUGAGAGUACUAAAUGCUCAGUAUUCAUACUGUGUGCAUAAAAGCGAGACUGAAGGAUGAAUAUGUGGUGUGUGGAUGGAUGGGAUAUGAAUGAAGCAGUCUCUGGGUAUGUGCUCUCCUGGAAAUUCAUGGAACAGACCAUUGGUCCCAGAUUUUUAGAUUUCAUGGGCCAGCAAAAUUUCCCCCCAAAUUUUUGGAACCAACAAAGGAUUACCAACUUUUUUGCCAAGUAAGAACAUUUAAAAUAAACUAAUGCUGCCUCCUACCAUUGCCAUCUAAUUCUUUCAUUGCAGUAAAAUAUAUGUAACAUAAAAUUGACCAUUUUUAUUUUUUUAAGUUUAUUGAUUAUUUUUUUGAGACAGGGUCUCACUUUGUCACCCAGGCUGGAGUGCAGUGUUGCACUCUCAGCUCACUGCAGCCUGACCUCCUGGGCUCAAGAGAUCCUCCCACCUCAGCCUCCUGAGUAUCUGGGACUACAGGUACAUGCCACCAUGCCUGGCUAAUUUUGUGCUUUUUUGUUUUGUUUUUUAUUUUUUUUUGGAUAUUUUUUGGUAGAGAUGAGGUCUCACUUUGUUGCUCAAGCUGAUCUCAAACUCCUGGACUCAGGUAAUCCUCCCACCUCAGCCUCCCAAAGUAUUAGAAUUAGAGGUGUCAGCCACCAUGCCUGACCAAUUUUUAAAUUUUUAAUUGAUGUAUAAUGGUUAUGUAUAAUCGUGGGGUACAGUAUGAUGUUUUAAUCCACACACGCGUUAUAUAAUGACCAAAUCAGGGUAAUUGGCACAUCUAUCACUUUAAAUAUUCAUCAUUUCUUUGUGGUAGAUUUUCACUAUUUUUAAGUGUACAGCUCUGUGGCAUUAAGAGGCACUAAGCUUAUUCACACUGUUGUGCAGCCAUUACCACCAUCUAUUUCCUGAACUUUUUUACCUUCCUUGAUGCCCCACUCGUUAAAUACUAACUCCCCCAUCUCCCCUCUUCCGGCCCUUGGUAUCCACUAUUCUGUGCCUUUUCAUUUUCAAAGGAUUAUUCAUUGUCUCAGUCUCAUCGUGUAAAACCAUAAGAAUUUCUUUACGGUGGAAAAAAGAUAACUUUAUGAAGCCCAUUCCUUUCUCCACUCUGAGUGGGCUGUGACCCAGCCCCACCCUUGCAGGGAUGAGAUGGGAUUGGGGGAGAUGGCAGACGUUUGGAGCACUGAGAGUCCAGGUGAACUGUGGGCUCAGCCACCCAUGGCAGGCUUGGGGGGCCAGAAGGCACAUCCUGAAACAGAUGAGGCCUCUACUAAUUCAUCAGCAAGUUUAGGGAGCAGCAACUUUUCCCUGCCCAGCUGCCCGCGUUUCCUUCCCCAUACAAUUUCUGCUGAGCUUGGGGGAGGGGAGGUUGUUCGAGAGGCCCAGGCCGGGUGAGGUGGGGGGAGGGUGAUACAUUCUUUUCUUUAAGGAACCUGACCGAACUUUAAGGUCAGAGCUCAGUGGAGAGUGGGAGCUGCAGGGUUACCUCUUUGCCAUUGAUUCAUCUCUUUACCCUCCCCCGCUCUUAAUGAUCUUUCCAUUACAGAACCCAGACCAGGAAGUACAUGACAGGUCACAGCUGCAGACACAUGGCUGGGAGGCCUGGGCUCUGGGCCAGUAGUGGGAGGGUCUGAACUCCCCUGCAGCAGUGGGACCCCUACACACACACACGCACACACACCACUUUAGCUAGCAACUUGGUGGAAAUGUUCUUACGUGCUGUCACAGGUGAUUUUGAGUUGGACUUUGCUUUGGGUUUAGGAUGUGAUUUAUAAUAAAGGCAGGAGAAGACCUCCCCAACCUAAGUGUUUAGAUCCCCCCAACUUUCAGUCUACCUAAGUGGUCCUUACCAGAUCCUGGGAGCUUUCUAUCAUUGUGCAGAUGCCCCAGCUUAUUUUCCCAAAAUGGGACCCACCCAAUAUGGCCUUAGAAGCUUCGCAAGGUAUCCGCGGCAGUUCCUAGUCACAGUCUUAAUGCCUCCAAAAUAGUAUGUUUUCCUCUCUUUGGUUCUAUUAAAAUACCAGGCCCAAAACUUGUUUUUGGUGGAGGUCUGGAUGCAACAGCACAGCCUUUGCAAACACAGAUAGACGUGGGUUCAAGUCAUAAUGGAUAAGUUGAGCCUCUUUCAUUUUUCAGUCUUCACUGGGGAUGGCUCUUUCCACUCACAAGUUGUUCAGGAAAUGUUAAUUGACCCUAAACUGUGUCCUAGGGGGCAGUUGUCACACAGGAGUUUCUGUCUCUACCGCCAGCUGUGUCAUUGGCUCUCUUCCCUGAAUCUGCCAAGGCUGGAUUCUGGUGCCAAAUGUGAAAUGGUGACACAAACUUCUAGGAACUGUGAGCGUGGACCGCGCUCCUCCCAUAGCUGCAGGGCGGCUACCUUUGCUCCUCUCGGAUGAGUGAGUGAACUUCCCUCUUUCCAGAGCAGUGCUUUCCUCCUGGUUAGAUUGGAGGGAGAGAAGCAAGGUGUGUUGGGAGGAGGUUGAGCGAAUGGGUGUAGUAAGAGUUUUCGCUACAGCUCUGUUCUUAAUGCAUCAGUAAACAAUGGGGUGAGAACUUUUGCUGGGGAGAGAGGAAGGAGGGAAGCUUCAUUUAAGACAACUCUUGGGUGCAUUCCUUUGUUAAUCACGUAAUUACAGUGCUUCUCCCAGCACAGGUGGGGAGGAGGUGGGGGUGCUGGUGCCCCUCGGUCAUUGGAGAAAGGUGGCAAAAUCCCUAGAGGAAAAAAGUACAGAUUUGAAGGAGGCAUCAGAUGAACACGUGCACAGAAGCUCCAACCCCAAACUCAGUUCUGAGGCUCCUUAAGCACCCAGAGACCCUUGCCUCUUAAGAUCCACACGGAGCUCUCCAGGCCGAGAGUGCUUUCCGCCUGGGGUUCCCAAGUGGGGUUCUACACGUGUCUUGUGGCUGAGCUAGGUGGGGGGUGACCUGUUUUUGGGGGGGUCUUGGGGCGGUCGCAGGGCCCGGGUUGUGACUUUGGCCAGCGCUGGCGGCUCCGCAGUAAAUUACAGUGAUGAGGUGGGACACACAAAAGGCCGAAAUCUUUUUUUAAUAAAAACAAAACAAAACUCCAGGCCCCAAGCCCCUGGGCUGCUGAAUGGCCAUGGCUUCCUGUCAGGAUUAGCCAGGCUGCCUGGGCCUGUGUGCGCGGCCUUUCUCCUCAGGAAAUACCUUUAGUAAGCCCCGGUGGGGUCCCCAUGGCAACGCGAGGGGGGACCUGCUGGCAGGGGCCAUUCAGCCCGCCAUUGUCCCCCGGCCCCUUUGUUGUGAGCUUUAUUGCCGGCCCUCUGGCAAACACAGCAGUUUGCACCGUUUUGUCAGGCUGAAUGUGGAGUUUUUACAUUUUAAUAGGCUCUUCUGGCAGUGGCCCAUUUGCAUGCAAAAUGUCCCUUCUUACUCUUUUCACUUUCUUCAAUUUAAAAAAAAAAAGCACUUCUCCAAAUCCCCCGGGUCGGGGCCUGGUGGACGCCAGUGGCCCUGGGUGUCAGGCCUCACUAAUUGAUUUGGUGCUCCCGGCUCUCCUUCCACACAUACCUGUGCACCCCAUUUUUGCAGCUUUCCUACUUGUGGACUCCAUGAGUUGAGGGAAACACAUGUUUCAGGCUCCUGUCUCCACCCCUGUAGGGUGGUGGCUGUGACCCAGGACUUGGCGAGAUGCUUCUGCACUCUGGCCGGGUCCUGCCAGCCGAAGGUAAGUUUUCAGUUCCAUUUCAAAGCCAAAAUAAGGUAAUAAAAAAACCUCUGCAGAGGGCCCCCGGAACCCUGCUGUGCCGUUCUGUGCUCCUUUUAAGUUGCUUUCAAAGCCACCCCGAGUUCCUCCCCCAGCCACAAUUGCCCCCUCAUUUAUCUCUGGGGAGUUUGUACCAAGACUGUAAACAUUCCUGGACCACCAGUUCCGCCAUGUUGCUGAGGAGUUCAGCCUUUCUCUCCUAAUUUUGUUAACCCAGAAAUCCAGAAAUCAAAAAGAUGGAACAGGGGUGAUAGAAAUGGCUGCCCUGAGGCAUCAUGCUACUGGAGAGGAUGCCUUGGUUUUGUUGGGGGCCAGUUAUCGAAGCCCUAGGCCCUUUGGGGUACAGAACGUAGAGUAGGUAAGACAAAGACCUCCUGGCAUUCCAGCAAUACGAGGAAGUGCGAGACACGGCCACGGGCAUGUUCAGGUCUAGGGGAAGGCACAUUCAGGUUGCUGGGAGGUGGAGAAUGUAGUUGGGCCAGUCUCAGAAGAGUGAGUUUUAAGGCCUAGGAAAGUGAUGGAGAUGAUUGCUUGUUGGAGAGAGAGAAGGAGGAAGGCAAUUAGGAGAAGAAAAGGGAAAUCAAAGGGGCAGUAAGGAUAUUGGCUCCACCGGGGAGGUGGAACUAGGGCAGUGGCUCUACCAGGGGCAGAAGAGGAGAUGAUUGAGAGGCUCCAGACAACUUGGGGCUCUCAUGGAGUGUUGGGGGGACAGGAGGCAGCAGGCAGGUCUGGAGCCAUCAGGGCUUGAGAGCCGGGACCCCUGUGAGCUUGUGUGGUCCAGAGGAUGUGGCCUAGGGGGAGGGUUGACCAGCUCCUUUGCCCAGCGUUCUUCAUCUUCUCAGUGGUCAUGAGGGGUCAUCAGCUGUAAUCUGUAAUUAAGAGUGAGGGAUUCAAGAAGAGAGAAGGUGUCAGGUGACUGCUGGGGAUUGAGCUGAGGACAGGGGAGGCAGGGUACUGUCUCCUAUGGCCCAGACAGAGCAGCACAGAUGUGGAGUGGGCCACCCCUCAUCACUCUGUGUGCUGUGACAGUGCUUGCUGGACUGAGCCCUGGGAGAGAAGCUGGACACAGUGGAGGGGACCAGGACUCAGCACAUGCAGCCUCUAGAGCUUGUCCCCGUUUUGUGACUUCGUGAGCCAUCUAUCUCCCAAGCUCCAUUUUUCCAUGUUUAAAUGGGAAGGAACAUGAGUUACCUGGACAUGAAGAAGCAGGCCCUAUGAAAUAUUGAGUGCGAUGCCAAAAUGGGGCAUUAUUCCUGUUCCUGAGUCUGCUCCUAUCACAAUGAAUAGCUCCCCCAUUUCCUCCCCUGCUGCAUUUGGACAGCUGAGCCUGCUGGACUCGCAGGGGCAGGAGAGUGUGUUUUAUAAUUAAAAGCACUCAACUGUAAGGUAAUGAUUGAUGUAAGCUAUGGGCUUGAGGAAAUGAGGGAGGGAAGGGAGGAUAAGGCCAAAGCAACCAACUUCAGAAUCUCGCAGGAGGAGGUAGGUUGUAGAGGUGCCAUUAGACAAUCAAAGGGCUGAGCCAGAAGGGCUUCCUCACCUGGGGAGGUCACGACACCACGAAGGUUGAGGCUGCUUUGUAAAGCUGGACUCUGGAUGUGUGUGGAUUCUGGAGAACCAGGCUACCUGUGUUUGAAUCCCAGCUCUGCUACUUACUACCUAGCUGAGCCUGGCUCUGUUGCCCAGGCUGGAGUGCAGUGGUGCAAUCUUGGCUCACUGCAACCUCCACCUCCCAGGUUCAAGUGAUUCUCCUGUCUCAGUGUCCCAAGUAGCUGGGAGUGCAGGCGUGCACCACCACACCUGGCAAAUUUUUUGUAUUUUUAGUAGAAACAGGGUUUCACCAUGUUGGCCAGGCUGGUCUUGAACUCCUGGCCUCAUGUUCCACCCACCUCAGUCUCCCAAAGUGUUAGAAUUACAGGCAUGAGCCCAGGCAGUGCGCCCAGCCUGAAGAUAGUAAUUCUAACUUUUUUUUUUGAGACAGGGUCUCACUCUGUUGCUUAGGCUGGAGUGCAGUGACACAAUCUCAGCUCACUGCAACCUCUGACUCCUGGGUUCAAGCAAUACUCCUACCUCAGCCUCAGCCUCCUGAGUAGCUGGGAUCACAGGCACAGGUGUCCACCACCAUGCCCAGGAAAUUUUUGCUUUUUUUUUGAAACGGGGUCUUGUUUGCUGAGGUGCAGUAGCGCAACCUCAGCUCAAUGCAACCUCCACUUCCUGGGUUCAAGUGAUUCUCCUGCCUCAGCCUGCCGAGUAGCUGAGAUUACAGGCGUGCGCCACCAUGCCUGGCUAAUUUUUGUAUUUUUAGUAGAGACCAGGUUUCACCAUGUUGGUCAGGCUGGUCUUGAACUCUUGUCCUCGUGAUCCGCCCACCUCAGCCUCCCAAAGUGCUCAGAUUACAGGCGUGAGCCACUGCACUUGGCCAAGAAUUCUAACUAUUAAAUACUUCACAGGGUUUUAAGUUAACACAUACUGAGAACUAUGCUGGUGUGUAGUAAGCCUCCACAUCAUAGGAUAGGAAUCACAAUAGGAUCAAUCUCAUAAGGUUCCUCUGAGGAUGAAACGGGAGGGUCUGUGUUCAAAGCUUUGCUCGGCCUAUGGGAUUUAGUGAGCAUGCUGGAAAUGUUGGCCAGUAGUAGUAUUGCUGUUUACUCAGAUGUUGAUGGAUCCCUAGAUAAUAUAUGGGAAGGCACCUGGUAAAUUGCAGAGUGCUAUGCAAAUAUGUUGUUAUUCUUCACCCGGUUCCUGUUAAGUUGUGGGGUUUGGGGAUGGAUGACUUCCAGACCAGAGUGGCUGCCAUGGGCCCAGGCUGGUGAAGUGAUAUUUCAGCAUGCAUUUUCAGGUGCAUUUGUCCAUGUGACAUGAAUGGCCUGCAUUCAUAGUCUCUGCAGAGAGGUGUGUUCCCUGGGGUAUCUGGUGGCUCUGUUCUAUCCCUCAAGUACAAAUUGAAAACAUUAUUUGUUACUGUUUUCUCCCAGCCUGGCCUGGUUUCCCACUGCCCCUCAGACCAAGGCACAGCCAUGCCUAUAAGCACCUCAUUCUCUUUCGUUCCCCACAGAUGUUUUACUUCCCAUCUAAAUCCUCCCCCUCCCUUCCCUACCAUUUUGUCCACCCUCUGCUCUCACUGCCAGUACUUUGUGUUUCAUGACCUCAGAGCCUGUGCGGAACCUGCCUGUGCUUGGUCCUGACAUUCUCCACUUGUCUUAUAAAAUCUUCAUGCAUAUCAAGGCACUAUGCAAUUCUUAGUGCCCCGGUUAGGGCAAGAUAUAUGUCUUCUGGGCCUUGCACAGUGACAAGGGCUCCCAGAAUCACCUAAUAGUAGCUGUGUUGAAGAAAGUUCCCUGUUUUCGCCUUAGAUUUUUGAGAACUGGGGUCUCAUUUUUUCCUAAGAAUAGCAAGGUUUGUAUGGGUUUGGGCUUCUUCAUGGUUCCAUUCCCACACGCUUUAUAGAGCCCAUGGCUGGUGGAAGACACAGAUUUAGAAUCAACUGGGAGGCCAAGAUGGGCGGAUCACUUAAGGUCAGGAGUUCAAGACCAGCCUGGCCAACAGAGCAAAACCACAUCUCUACUAAAAAUACAAAAUUAGCUGGGCAUGGUGGUGCUCAUCUGUAGUCUCAGCUACUCAGGGGACUGAGGCAUGAGAAUCACUUGAACCUGGGAGGUGGAAGUUGCAGUGAGCCAGGAUUGCUUUUUAAAUGACUAUGGGAGAUUUUUGUCCAGUCCUGCCAGAAGCAAAAUGCCGCACACAUUGGGUUGUUGGGAGUUACAAGCCUGCAGUAUUUGGGGGGAAAGUAGGAAGGGAAGAGGGCCUCAUUAUCAUUCAUCAUGUUCCUUAACUUGAACACACCAUGGGAAAGUCCCCUCCCAUCCUGCCUCUGUCCUUUCUAGCUGCUUCAUUGAGGAUGAAAGGACCCAAAAAGUGUGGGUCUCUGGUGGGCUUCCAAUUUCCUCUUAGGGUACAGAGGCACGUUAAAGAAGCAAGGUAGGUUUGAUGUGUGAAUCCCUGUCGCUUGCACUGAAAGGAGCACUGGUUGCAGCCUGCACAAAUUCCCAAGGUCCACCCACCACCUGCCUUGACCCAGGAACCUGCAUGGUAAUGAGAUCAGCACCUUGAGUCCUCUAACGAUGUUCCAGUUAAACCCUAACCCUGACCUUCCCACUCCUAUUGAUGAGAACGCUGAUUCUGUUCUAUUGUCAUGGAAGCAUAAGGCACCUUUUUGUUGUUGUUGUUGUUGAGAGAAGGUCUCACUGUUGCCCAGGCUAGAGUAAAAUGGCAUGAUCAUAGCUCCUGCAGCCUUGAGCUCCUGGGUCACGGGAUCCUCUCUCUUCAGCCUCCCAAGUACCAGGGACUACAGGCAUGCACCACUAUGCCUGGCUAAUUUUUUUACUUUUCUCAGAGAUGGGGUCUCGCUGUGUUGCCAAGGCAGGUCUUGAACUCCUAGUCUCAAGCAGUCCUCACACCUUGGCCUCCCAAGAGGCUGGGAUUACAGGCAUGAGCGUCUGCACCCAGCCCACAAUGCACUAUUAACACAUGGCACCUAGAGCCUGUAAUAGUGAACAGCCAGCCUUUUCCAGCCUCAGGCUAGGUCAUGGGGAAUCCAGAUAGCAGAUGCCCUCCAGCCUCCAUUCCCCACCUUGUCUCUCAGGAAACAAGAUGCAUAAAAUGCAUAAAGCAAGUGUUUUGGUGCCGCUUCCCUCACAGCUUCCCCAUUAUGCAUUUUGCGGACAACCUUUGUAUCUGAUUCCAAUUAAUCGGGUUCUCCAAGAGUUGAAAUGUUGGUUUCAAGUGACUGAGCGAUCAAGUGGCGUUUUUUUCUUCAUCUUUCUUGGGCAGCCCAAUAAAAGUGUCAAGUAGCUUUACCCUUUGCUAAUGGACACCUAACAACACCCUGGCCUAUGGGUCUUGACCAGAGAAAGGCCGGCUCAGGGCAGCCGGAGCUGAAGAUGCAAGGACCUUUCUAAUGAAGACAUAAGUGAGGGAUGCUGGAAAGACCAAAAGAGAAUGGAAAGUACUGACAUGAUAGUUGCAGGGUGCCAGUGCGCAGUCAUGCCCCUGAAUCAGCCACCUUACAUAGCCCAGGGUCAGGACCACUGCACGGGGAGGGCCUGGUAAGCGUACAAGCAGUUGGUUCCAUCUCUUCCUAUAAGAAAGUGGCAUCGGCCAGGCGUGGUGGCUCAAGCCUGUAAUCCCAGCACUUUGGGAGGCCGAGGCGGGUGGAUCAUGAGGUCAAGAGAUCGAGACCAUACUGGUCAACAUGUUGAAACCCCGUCUCUACUAAAAAUACAAAAAAUUAGCUGGGCAUGGUAGCGCAUGCCUAUAAUCCCAGCUAUUCAGGAGGCUGAGGCAGGAGAAUUGCUUGAACCCAGGAGGUGGAGGUUGCGGUGAGCCGAGAUUGCGCCAUUGUACUCCAGCCUGGGUAACAAGAGCGAAAGUCCGUCUCAAAAAAAAAAAAAAAAAAAAGAAAGUGGCAUCAUCCCUGCUUUGUAAACAGACCCUGACACACACCAAGGGCAACUCCUAGCCAUGGGGAAAAGCCACUAGAACCCAAGGGUAGGCUGAUUUUUGGUUCCUCUGAAAGUUAGCUUUUGCUGGACGCCAGUUUCAGUUCUGGCCUUAUUCAGUAGUCUCUGGGUUUCUGACAUUGUUAGGAACCAAGGGACAAUUAUGAUAGGUACGUCUGCUCUGAGUUGCUUGCUAAUUUCUAGGAGAGACUUGGACACUUUGGACAACAAAGAAGCAAUACAGGCCGACAGUGGUGGCUCACAUCUGUAAUCCCAGCGCUUUGGGAGGCCAAGGUGGGUGGAUCACCUGAGGUCAGGAGUUUGAGACCAGCCUGACCAACAUGGUGAAACUCCAUCCCUACUAAAAAUACAAAAUUAGCCGGGUGUGGUGGCACAUGCCUGUAAUCAUAGCUACUUGGGAGGCUGAAGCAGGAGAAUCACUUGAACCCAGGAGGCAAAGGUUGCAGUGAGCCGAGAUCGUACCAUUGCACUCCACCUGGGCAACUAGUUUGAAACUGUCCCUCAAACAAGAAGUAAUCCAGUUCUUUAAGAUGUGGUCAUAGGUGGUGUGGAGCUGCAGUCUGCCUGCUCCUUCUCACUCAGCACUAUUCCGAACAAGUCAGUCAGGAAGCCGCGCUGGAGCCAUGGCUUUUAAGGAUACCAAAAAACACGUGUGAAGCUGGAGGUGGCCAUUCACCAAAUUCGAAUCUCUCUAAUGAGCCGCAAUAUAAAAUCCCUGGAGAAAGCGUGUGCUGACUUGAUCAGAGGAACAAAGAGAAGGAAUCUCAAGGUGAAGGGACCAGUUAGAAUGCCUGCCAAGACUUUGAAAAUCAGUAUAAGAAAAACUUGUGGUGAAGGUUCUGAGACGUGGGAUCAUUUCCAGAUGAAAAUCCACAAGCAACCCACUGACUUACACAGUUCUUCUGAGAUUGUUAUGCAGUUGGUUUCCGUCAGUAUUGAGCCAGGAAUUGAGGCGGAAGUCACCAUUGCAGAUGCUCAAAGUCAACUAUUUUAAUAAAUUGAUUACCAGUUGUUA